GACGAACGCUGGCGGCGUGCUUAACACAUGCAAGUCGAACGGUAAGGCCCUUCGGGGUACACGAGUGGCGAACGGGUGAGUAACACGUGGGUGAUCUGCCCUGCACUUCGGGCUAAGCCUGGGAAACUGGGUCUAAUACCGGAUAGGACCCUGGGAUGCAUGUCCUGGGGUGGAAAGCUUUUGCGGUGUGGGAUGGGCCCGCGGCCUAUCAGCUUGUGGGUGGGGUGAUGGCCUACCAAGGCGGCGACGGGGAGCCGGCCUGAGAGGGUGACCGGCCACACUGGGACUGAGAUACGGCCCAGACUCCUACGGGAGGCAGCAGUGGGGAAUAUUGCACAAUGGGCGCAAGCCUGAUGCAGCGACGCCGCGUGAGGGAUGACGGCCUUCGGGUUGUAAACCUCUUUCAGCACAGACGAAGCGCAAGUGACGGUAGGUGCAGAAGAAGGACCGGCCAACUACGUGCCAGCCGCCGCGGUAA
rnacentral:rRNA from 1 species